CUGGAUCUUAGGAUUUCACUAUAUGAAUUUAGGAGAAAAAACGACUAGAAUGUCUGCCAAAACGUUCAAGUUUACCGAAAGAGAAGCACUAUUAGAACACUAAUGAGAGCUCAUGACGCAGUCAUCCUUUUGGAUUUCUGUUUUAAGUAUGUGCGGACCUUCACCUUUGAUCUCCUACCCUGCAUCACCUGGAUAUGGAUAUAAUGGCAGAAACUCCAGCAGCCCUCUUGGACCUUGAGAUAAUUUUGGGAAAAAAGCCAC